rnacentral:rRNA from 1 species
AGGGUGUAGGGCGGAUGCCUUGGCACUAGGAGCCGAUGAAAGACGUGAUAAGCUGCGAUAAGCUUCGGGGAGUGGCACAUACACUUUGAUCCGGAGAUUUCUGAAUGAGGAAACUCACUUGGAGUAAUGUCCAAGUAUCCAUAGGUGAAUACAUAGCCUAUGGAGGGGAACUCAGGGAACUGAAACAUCUAAGUACCUGAAGGAAGAGAAAGAAAUUCGAUUCCGCUAGUAGCGGCGAGCGAACGCGGAAGAGCCCAAACCAAGUCAGUUUACUGAUUUGGGGUUGCGGACAUAUCUUAAGGAAAGGUUAUUGCGAGUAGAAUAGGUCUGGAAAGACCAACCAUAGAGGGUAAAAGUCCCGUAUACAAAGCCAAGAAAGUUCUUGAUAUGAUCCAGAGUACCACGAGACACGUGAAACCUUGUGGGAAGCAGGGGGGACCACCCCCCAAGGCUAAAUACUACCUAGUGACCGAUAGCGAAUAGUACCGUGAGGGAAAGGUGAAAAGAACCCCGGGAGGGGAGUGAAAUAGAACCUGAAACCCUACACUUACAAGCUGUGGGAGCGCAUUAUUCGCGUGACCGCGUACUUUUUGUAGAACGGGCCAACGAGUUACGUUAUGUGGCAAGGUUAAGCACUUAAGGUGUGGAGCCGAAGCGAAAGCGAGUCUUAACUGGGCGCCAUAGUCACAUGACGUAGACCCGAAACCGGGCGACCUACCCAUGAGCAGGAUGAAGCGAAAGUAAAAUUUCGUGGAGGUCCGAACCCACGUACGUUGAAAAGUGCGGGGAUGACUUGUGGGUAGCGGUGAAAUUCCAAUCGAGCUCGGAGAUAGCUGGUUCUCCCCGAAAUAGCUUUAGGGCUAGCCUUGAAAUUUAGAGAUGUGGAGGUAGAGCACUGAAUGUCCUAGGGGGUAUUGCACUUACCGAAGACUAUCAAACUCCGAAUGCCAUUAUCUUUUGUUCAGGAGUCAGACUAUGGGUGAUAAGGUUCAUAGUCGAAAGGGAAAGAGCCCAGACCGUCAGCUAAGGUCCCUAAAUGUAUGUUAAGUGGUAAAGGAUGUGGGAUUGCACAGACAACCAGGAUGUUGGCUUAGAAGCAGCCACUCAUUUAAAGAGUGCGUAAUAGCUCACUGGUCGAGUGAUCCUGCGCCGAAGAUUUCCGGGGCUAAAACAUACUACCGAAGCUACGGCAUCAUAUGAUGAUGGGUAGGGGAGCUUCCCAUGCAGGCUGAAGCGAUACCGUAAGGAGUCGUGGACAGUAUGGGAGAGAGAAUGUUGGCAUGAGUAGCGAGAUGAGGGUGAGAAUCCCUCAGGCCGUAAACCCAAGGUUUCCAGGGGAAGGUUCGUCCUCCCUGGGUUAGUCGGGACCUAAGCUCAGGCCGAAAGGCGUAGGCGAUGGACAACAGGUUGAGAUUCCUGUACUACCGAUAAUCGUUUGAGAGAAGGGAUGACACAGUAGGAUAAGCUGAGCACACUGUUGGUUAUGUGUGUCUAAGCGUUGAGGCAGACUAGAUAGGCAAAUCCGUUUAGUUAAUGCUGGGACGCGAUGGGGAGCGAAACUAAGUAGCGAAGCAGCUGAUUUCACACUGUCGAGAAAAGUCUCUAUCGAGAUUAAAGGUACCCGUACCGCAAACCGACACAGGUGGGUGAGGAGAGUAUCCUAAGGCCAGCGAGAGAACUGUUGUUAAGGAACUCGGCAAAAUGACCCCGUAACUUAGGGAUAAGGGGUGCCCCAGCAAUGGGGCCGCAGAGAAUUGGCCCAAGCGACUGUUUACCAAAAACAUAGGUUUCUGCUAAGUCGCAAGACGAUGUAUAGGAGCUGACGCCUGCCCGGUGCUGGAAGGUUAAGGGGAUCUGUUAGAGCAAUCGAAGCAGUGAUCUUAAGCCCCAGUAAACGGCGGCCGUAACUAUAACGGUCCUAAGGUAGCGAAAUUCCUUGUCGGGUAAGUUCCGACCCGCACGAAAGGCGUAACGAUUUGGGCACUGUCUCAACAACAGACUCGGUGAAAUUGUAAUCCCGGUGAAGAUGCCGGGUACCUGCGACAGGACGGAAAGACCCCAUGGAGCUUUACUGUAGCUUGACAUUGGGUUUCGAUACUACAUGUACAGGAUAGGUGGGAGACUAUGAAAUCAGGGCGUCAGUUUUGAUGGAGUCAUCCUUGGGAUACCACCCUUGUAGUAUUGGGACUCUAACCAUAGGCCAUGAAUCUGGUCUUGGGACACUGUCUGGUGGGCAGUUUGACUGGGGCGGUCGCCUCCCAAAAGGUAACGGAGGCGCUCAAA